CUCCUCGUUCUCUCGCUCAUGUUGCCCUUCCCACCCACCGCUUUAUAUAAUUCUUUUUUGAUAUUUCAGUCGAAAAAUAUAAAUACAAACAUUUCUUACUCCUCUUUUUGAAGCUCCAAUUUUUCUCCAUAAAGCAGACGAAAGCGAAUCUCAUUCUUUCUCUUCAUUAUCGAAUUCUUUUCUUUUUAUUCAUUCUUCUGCUGUAUUGGGUUUUCUUUGAAUUACGAUGUCAAUGGCGAGGCCUAAUCAGGAGGCAAUUGAGACAUUUAUGAGCAUCACUGGCAAUUGAUCUAAUGAAAGCCAGCACCAAAAAGAUUCACAACCAGCGAUUUCAAUAUGUGUACAGAAAGAAAGUGGCUGAGAAACUGAGUUUGCAUUCAGAAGUAAAUCUGUUGAAGAUGCUGGUUUUUAGGGCAGCGCUUUAAAACAUUUGCAAUCACCAAAUGUUCCGUAAAUUGCCAAAGUUUUGGUAGAGCUGAAGAUUACUUGGCUAGAGGCUCAAGGCCUACUACAGUCCCCUCUUGACCAUGCUCCCUACAUUGUGGUGAUUGAAGGUUUUGAAUUUGAAGGAUGAGUUGUGGCAUGAGAAAAUCCAAAACAAAACAAAAUGGUGUGUUACCAAGUGGAUAUGCACGGAGGAUUGGGUCCUAAAUACAGAAAAUUAAAUACGGAAAAUUGGCUGAACUACGGAAGGUAGUUACCAUUAUUUAAUUGUUCUUGUCUUAAUCCUGAAUCCUUUUCUUUACAAAAUUGAAGAGGGACUCGCAUUUGUUUAAUAUUUGAAUCUUUAUUUUCUUAUCAUGAAUGUUGUGUUUUUGCUGCUCCAUAAAUGACACAUUGGUUAUCAAAUCAUUGUGGUGGUGAAAAGAUCUAGAAGACUCAACGUAAAAAUUGUCUAAGUAGUAACCAAGUUGAGUGUCUCUUGUUGAAGCAAUCAUUGGCCAAGCUUUUUACCAGUGAAGCAAUCAAGUCUGAGGUAUGCAUUCAAGGUUAGUUUGAAUUUUUUCUCCAUUGCGAUACCUUCACUUUGAUCAGUUCUGAUUUCAUUUAUGUUGUCUACUACUACUACUAGUUUCUCUUUGAUACUCUUGAGCACGUAUCACUCUUGUUUAGAAUUGACUGCAGCAUAACAUGAAUUUAGGUUUUCUCUUGCUUAGAGUUGCAACACUACUACUACUACUACUACUACUACUACUUGUAGCACAACUUGAAACUACACUUGUAGCACAAUUUGAAUUUAGGUUUCCUCUUGCUUAGAGUUGACAAGUUGACAAUGAAACUACUACUUGUAACACUACUUCAAUUUAGAUUUCCUCUUGCUUAGAGUUGACAACACCACAACCACUACUACAACUUGAAUUUAGGUUUCCUCUUCCUUAGAGUUGAAUUUAGGUUUCUUCUUGUUUAGAGUUGACAAAAACACUACUAUCACUACUACUACUACACAACUUGAGACUACUACUUGUAGUACCACUUGAAACUACAACUUGGAGCACAGCUUGAAUUUAGGUUUCCUCUUCCUUAGAGUUGACAAUAACACAACUACUACUUCGUCUUUCUUAUAGUUGACAACAACACAACUACUACUACUAGUACUACUACUACUACUUGUAGCACAACUUGAAUUUAGGUUUUCUCUUGCUUAGAGUUGCAACACUACUACUAACACUACUACUACUACUACUACUACUACUUGUAGCACAAUUUGAAUUUAGGUUUCCUCUUGUUUAAAGUUGACAACAACACAACUACUACUACUACUACUACUUGUAGCACAACUUGAAUAUAGGUUUCUUCUUGUUUAGAGUUGACAACAACACAACUAUUACUACUACUACUACUUGUAGCACAACUCAACUUGAAUUUAGGUUUCUUCUUGUUUAAAGUUGACAACAACAUUGCUAUUAAUACUACUAUUACUUGUAGCACAACUUGAAACUACUACUUGUAGCACAACUUGAAUUUAGGUUUCCUCUUGUUUAGAGUUGACAACACAACUACUACUACUACUACUACUUGUAGCACAACUUGAAACUACUACUUGUAGCACAACUUGAAUUUAGGUUUCCUCUUGUUUAGAGUUGACAACACAACUACUACUACUACUACUUGUAGCACAACUUGAAUUUAGGUUUUCACUACUACAAAACUUGAGACUACUACUUGUAGCACAACUAGUUUAUGUUUCUUCUUGUUUAGAGUUGACAACAACACAACUACUACUACUACUUGUAGCACAACUUGAAUUUAGGUUUUCUCUACUACACAACUUGGGACUACUACUUGUAGCACAACUUGAAUUUAGGUUUCCUCUUGCUUAGAGUUGACAACAACAUAACUACUACUAUUACUACUUUGUCUUGCUUAGAGUUGACAACAACACAACUACUACUACUACUACUACUACUUGUAGCACAAUUUGAAUUUAGGUUUUCUCUUACUUAGAGUUGACAACAACACAACUACUACUAAUACUCAACUUGAGACUACUACUUGUAGCACAACUUGAAACUACUACUUGUAACACAACUUGAAUUUAGGUUUCCUCUUGCUUAGAGUUGACAAUAACACUACUAUUAUUAGAACUACUACUUCGUCUUGCUUAUAGUUGACAACAACUACUACUACUUGUAGCACAUCUUGAAUUUAGGUUUUCUCUUGCUUAGAGUUGCAACACUACUACUACUACUAUUUGUAGCACAACCUGAAACUAAUAUUUGUAGCACAACUUGAAUUUAGGUUUUCUCUUACUUAGAGUUGCAACACUACUACUACUACUACUACUACUACUACUACUACUACUACUAUUUGUAGCACAACCUGAAACUACUUCUUGUAGCACAACUUGAAUUUAGGUUUCCUCUUGCUUAGAGUUGACAACAAUUCAACUACUACUACUACUACUACUUGUAGCUCAACUAGAAUUUAGGUUUCCUCUUGCUUAGAGUUGACCACAACACAACUGCUACUACUAUUACUACUUUGUCUUGCUUAGAGUUGACAACAAUACAACAACUACUACUACAUGUAGCACAACUUGAAUUUCGAUUUUCUCUUGCUUAGAGUUGACAACAACACAACUACUACUAAUACUUAACUUGAGACUACUACUUGUAGCCCAACUUGAAACUGCUACUUGUAGCACAACAUGAAUUUAGGUUUCCUCUUGCUUAGAGUUGACAAUAACACAACUACUACUACUUGUAGCACAACUUGAAUUUAUGUUUUCUCUUGCUUAGAGUUGCAACACUACUACUACUACUCUUUGUAGCACAACUUGAAACUACUACUUGUAGCACAACUUGAAUUUAGGUUUCCUCUUGCUUAGAGUUGACAACAAUUCAACUACUACUACUACUUGUAGCACAACUUGAAUUUAAAAUUUCUUUUGCUUAGAGUUGACAACAACACAACUACUACUAGUACACAACUUGAGACUACUACUUGUAGCAAACUUGAACCUACUACUUGUAGCACAGCUUGAAUUUAAGUUUUCUCUUGCUUAGAGUUGACAAUAACACAACUAUUCCUCUUUCUUAGAGUUGACAAUAGCACAACUGCUACUCUACUACUACUAGAUCCUCUUGCUUAGAGUUGACAACAACACAACCUGAACAACUGUAGCACAACUUAAAUUUAGGUUUUCUCUUGCUUAGAGUUGAUUGCAGCAGAACAACUUGAAUUCAGGUUUUCUCUUAGAUUUGAAUGCAGCACAAACUGAACAACUGUAGCACAAUUUGAAUUUAGAUUUUCUCUUGCAUAGAGUUGACUGCAGGACAACUUGAAUUUUGGUUUCUGUAUUGGUUCCAUCUUUUGAAACAAGGUGCUACUACUACUAGAUUCUCUUGCUUAGAGUUAAAUGCAGCACAACACAACUUGAACAACUAUAGCAUACUUGAAUUUAGGUUUCAUCUUGCUUGGAGUUGAUUGCAACACAACUUGAGUUCAGGUUUCAGUGUUGGUUCAUUCUUUUGAAACAAGGUACUAUUACUACCACUCCCUGAACAACUCCAGCACAACUUGAAUUUAGGUUUCCUCUUGUUUAGAGUGUAUUGCAACACAACUUGAAUUCAAUUUUUAGUGUUGGUUCCUUCUUUUGAAACUAAUGUACUAUUAUUACUACUACUUGAAUAACUAUAACACAACUUGAAUUCAGGUUUCUCUUACUUAAGGUUGAUUGCAGCACAACUUGAACAACGGCAGCAUAACUUCAAUUCAGGUUUUCUCUUGCUUAGAGUUGAUUGCAACUAUGCAUACCGGAAAGAGAGAAUAUGAAUUUUUGUGUAGUGUUGUUUCCUUUUUCUUUGAGCUUUGUUUGAGAUUUUUUUUUGUUAUGAUUUUUUUAUGUCUAUCUUUCUGUAAUUGAGAAAAAGGCUAAAGUGAGAAAAUGAAAAAGCCAUUAGUAAAAAGAGGCAUAAGAAAUAAAUUGAAAAAGCUAAAAUGAUUUUAUGUGGAUUUAGUUUUUGUUGAAUUAGAAUUAAUUCUUCUUAGCCAAGUUGGGAUAACACUUGAUGACUGUUGAACCAUAUUAUAGUCUUCCUUAGUCAAGUUGGGAUAGCACUUGGUGGAUACUAGGUUUAGGUUAGAAAUUUCGUGGGUGAUACUAGAUGAAUUAGGUUGUAAUUCAUUGGUAUUGGUGCAUGUAAUCAGUUUGAUUAUCGUUGAAAUUUCAUUAUGGUUGUGGUGAAGAUUGGAUAUAGGUUUCAUUGCAUUUGGAAACCGAACCAGGAUACAUGCUUGUGUGGUUCUUUUUCUCCGA